rnacentral:rRNA from 1 species
CCUACGGGAGGCAGCAGGCGCGAAACCUCCGCAAUGUGAGAAAUCGCGACGGGGGGAUCCCAAGUGCCAUUCUUAACGGGAUGGCUUUUCAUUAGUGUAAAGAGCUUUUGGAAUAAGAGCUGGGCAAGACCGGUGCCAGCCGCCGCGGUAACACCGGCAGCUCUAGUGGUAACAAUUUUUAUUGGGCCUAAAGCGUCCGUAGCCGGUUUAAUAAGUCUCUGGUGAAAUCCUGUAGCUUAACUGUGGGAAUUGCUGGAGAUACUAUUAGACUUGAGACCGGGAGAGGUUAGAGGUACUCCCAGGGUAGAGGUGAAAUUCUGUAAUCCUGGGAGGACCGCCUGUUGCGAAGGCGUCUAACUGGAACGGUUCUGACGGUGAGGGACGAAAGUUAGGGGCGCGAACCGGAUUAGAUACCCGGGUAGUCCUAACNUGUAANACGAUGCGGACUUGGUGUUGGGGUGGCUUUGAGSWGCUKMAKWGCCGAAGGGARGCUGUUAWGBCCGCCGYCKGDGMARUWCRGBCGSRAGWYKGAMRBKUAAAGGAAUUGGCGGGGGAGCACCACAACGCGUGGAGCCUGCGGUUUAAUUGGAUUCAACGCCGGACAUCUCACCAGAGGCGACAGCUGUAUGAUAGCCAGGUUGAUGACUUUGCUUGACUAGCUGAGAGGAGGUGCAUGGCCGCCGUCAGCUCGUACCGUGAGGCGUCCUGUYARGUCAGGCAACGAGCGAGACCCACGCCCUUAGUUACCAGCGGAUCCUUUUUUGGAUGCCGGGCACACUAAGGGGACCGCCUAUGAUAAAUAGGAGGAAGGAGUGGACGACGGUAGGUCCGUAUGCCCCGAAUCCUCUGGGCAACACGCGGGCUACAAUGGCUGAGACAAUGGGUUCCGACACCGAAAGGUGGAGGUAAUCCUCUAAACUUAGUCGUAGUUCGGAUUGAGGACUGUAACUCGUUCUCAUGAAGCUGGAAUGCGUAGUAAUCGCGUAUCACUAUUGCGCGGUGAAUACGUCCCUGCUCCUUGCACACACCG